GAUGUCGUCUCGUGGGUCAAGAAAAGUUUUCUGAAAUUAAUGGCUUUCUAUUUACCGUAAUUUAAAGUUUUACUUCUUGUGGAAUUAGAGCAUAAAAAGGCAUAGAAUUUGGAAUGAGGGAGACUUUAAUAUCUUUUCUUAUUCGCGCUAUUUGGACUCUGGCUUCACUGACACCUGCAUGCAACACAUGAAGUUCUACAAUUCCCAGAUUUAUCCAAUGUUCCUAAAAACCUCAAGAAACAUAUUGUAUAAGAUUCAAUAAAAUUUGAUCUGGAAAAUCAAUAUAACUGAAAAAAUCAGAUGAAUUUAUUAUAAUAAUCUAAUGCUUGAUACUGA